rnacentral:rRNA from 1 species
AAUAUUGCGCAAUGGACGGAAGUCUGACGCAGCGACGCCGCGUGAGCGAUGAAGGCCUUCGGGUCGUAAAGCUCUGUCCUUGGGGAAGAAGGUCUUCGGUCUUGACGGUACCCGAGGAGGAAGCCCCGGCUAACUACGUGCCAGCAGCCGCGGUAAUACGUAGGGGGCAAGCGUUGUCCGGAAUUAUUGGGCGUAAAGGGUGCGUAGGCGGCUUUUUAAGUCAGAUGUGAAAGACCACGGCUUAACCGUGGGGUUGCAUUUGAAACCGGAAGGCUUGAGUAUCGGAGAGGGUAGUGGAAUUCCCAGUGUAGCGGUGAAAUGCGUAGAUAUUGGGAGGAACACCAGUGGCGAAGGCGACUACCUGGACGAAAACUGACGCUGAUGCACGAAAGCUAGGGGAGCAAAC